UAACUUUUAUCCUACACCGUUGAAUCGAAAAAUGGACGUCCGAGAUUCGUACACGUUAAAAUUUAACUUCCAGUAAAUUUUAAUUCAUGAGUGAAUUCGCAAGUUAAAUUUUAACUCAUGGUGACGUGGACGAAUCUCGAACGUUCAUUUCUCGAUCCAACGGUGUAGGAUGAGAGUUG
rnacentral:pre_miRNA from 1 species